rnacentral:rRNA from 1 species
ACAGAGGUCCCAAGCGUUGUUCGGAUUUACUGGGCGUAAAGGGUGCGUAGGCGGUCGGGUAAGUCUGGUGUGAAAUCUCGGAGCUCAACUCCGAAAUGGCACUGGAUACUAUUCGGCUCGAGGGUUGGAAGGGGGACUGGAAUUCUCGGUGUAGCAGUGAAAUGCGUAGAUAUCGAGAGGAACACCAGUGGCGAAGGCGAGUCCCUGGACAACUCCUGACGCUGAGGCACGAAAGCCAGGGGAGCAAACGG